UGGGGAAUUUUGGACAAUGGGCGAAAGCCUGAUCCAGCAAUGCCGCGUGUGUGAAGAAGGCCUUCGGGUUGUAAAGCACUUUUGUCCGGAAAGAAAUCCUUGGCUCUAAUACAGUCGGGGGAUGACGGUACCGGAAGAAUAAGCACCGGCUAACUACGUGCCAGCAGCCGCGGUAAUACGUAGGGUGCAAGCGUUAAUCGGAAUUACUGGGCGUAAAGCGUGCGCAGGCGGUUUGCUAAGACCGAUGUGAAAUCCCCGGGCUCAACCUGGGAACUGCAUUGGUGACUGGCAGGCUAGAGUAUGGCAGAGGGGGGUAGAAUUCCACGUGUAGCAGUGAAAUGCGUAGAGAUGUGGAGGAAUACCGAUGGCGAAGGCAGCCCCCUGGGCCAAUACUGACGCUCAUGCACGAAAGCGUGGGGAGCAAACAGGAUUAGAUACCCUGGUAGUCCACGCCCUAAACGAUGUCAACUAGUUGUCGGGUCUUCAUUGACUUGGUAACGCAGCUAACGCGUGAAGUUGACCGCCUGGGGAGUACGGUCGCAAGAUUAAAACUCAAAUGAAUUGACGGGGUCAUAGCUGUUUCCU
rnacentral:rRNA from 1 species